UAUUUAUUAGAUAAAAAACCAACGCCCUUCGGGGCUCCUUGGUGAAUCAUAAUAACUUAACGAAUCGCAUGGCCUUGCGCCGGCGAUGGUUCAUUCAAAUUUCUGCCCUAUCAACUUUCGAUGGUAGGAUAGUGGCCUACCAUGGUGGCAACGGGUAACGGGGAAUUAGGGUUCGAUUCCGGAGAGGGAGCCUGAGGAACGGCUACCACAUCCAAGGAAGGCAGCAGGCGCGCAAAUUACCCAAUCCCGAUACGGGGAGGUAGUGACAAUAAAUACUGAUACGGGGCUCUUUUGGGUCUCGUAAUUGGAAUGAGAACAAUUUAAAUCCCUUAACGAGGAACAAUUGGAGGGCAAGUCUGGUGCCAGCAGCCGCGGUAAUUCCAGCUCCAAUAGCGUAUAUUAAAGUUGUUGCAGUUAAAAAGCUCGUAGUUGAACCUUGGGUCUGGCUGGCCGGUCCGCCUCACCGCGAGUACUGGUCCGGCUGGACCUUUCCUUCUGGGGAACCUCAUGGCCUUCACUGGCUGUGGGGGGAACCAGGACUUUUACUGUGAAAAAAUUAGAGUGUUCAAAGCAGGC
rnacentral:rRNA from 1 species